rnacentral:rRNA from 1 species
UGGGGAAUCUUGCGCAAUGCGCGAAAGCGUGACGCAGCAACGCCGCGUGGGGGAAGACGGCCUUCGGGUUGUAAACCCCUUUCAGGAGGGACGAAGGUUCGCCGGUGAAUAGCCGUGCGGAUUGACGGUACCUCCAGAAGAAGCUCCGGCUAACUACGUGCCAGCAGCCGCGGUAAUACGUAGGGGGCAAGCGUUGUCCGGAAUCAUUGGGCGUAAAGCGCGCGUAGGCGGCCCUGUAAGUCCGUUGUGAAAGUCAAAGGCUACAACCUUUGAAUGCCGAUGGAUACUGCAGGGCUAGAGUCCGGAAGAGGCGAGUGGAAUUCCUGGUGUAGCGGUGGAAUGCGCAGAUAUCAGGAGGAACACCAAUAGCGAAGGCAGCUCGCUGGGACGGUACUGACGCGUAAGGCGCGAAAGCGUGGGGAGCGAACAGGAUUAGAUACCCUGGUAGUCCACGCCGUAAACGAUGGGCACUAGGUGUGGGAGGUGUCGACUCCUCCCGUGCCGUCG